rnacentral:rRNA from 1 species
GAUGAACGCUAGCGGGAGGCUUAACACAUGCAAGUCGAACGGUAUCAGCAAUGAUAUAGUGGCGCACGGGUGAGUAACGCGUAUGCAACCUACCUUGUACAGGGGGAUAGCUUGGGGAAACCCAGGGUAACACCGCGUAAGCUCUUUGGAUGGCAUCAUUUGGAGAGGGAAUCUACGGAGGUACAAGAUGGGCAUGCGUUCCAUUAGCUAGUUGGUGGGUAACGCCCACAAGGCGACGAUGGAUAGGAGGUCUAAAAGGAUGGUCUCCCACACUGGUACUGAGACACGGACCAGACUCCUACGGGAGGCAGCAGUGAGGAAUAUUGGUCAAUGGGCGCAGGCCUGAACCAGCCAUGCCGCGUGAAGGAGAAGGCCUUAAGGGUCG